CUAUACAUGACUCUGGCGCAUAUCAAUAAGCGGAGGAAAAGAAACUAACAAGGAUUCCCCUUAGUAACGGCGAGUGAAGCGGGAAGAGCUCAAAUUUGGAAAUCUUCAAGGGUUUACCUUGACGAAUUGUAGUUUAAAGAAGUGUUUUCUGCUGAGGUUUUGGUAAAAGUUCUUUGGAAUAGGACAUCAUAGAGGGUGAGAAUCCCGUAUUUGACCAUUACUUUUCAACUUUGUGAUACACUUUCAAAGAGUCGGAUUGUUUGGGAAUGCAGUCCAAAAUGUGUGGUAAAUUUCAUCUAAAGCUAAAUAUUGGCGAGAGACCGAUAGCGAACAAGUACCGUGAGGGAAAGAUGAAAAGAACUUUGAAAAGAGAGUUAAACAGUACGUGAAAUUGUCAAAAGGGAAGCGUUUGACACCAGUGUUGUUUUUCUGAAAAUCAAUUAAAGAACUGUUUAUGCUAAGUUGUUUAGACUUUAUCAGCUAACUGUCUAGUUUUGAGCUUUUCUUUAAUGCACUUUUCAGUUAACAAGUCAACAUCAAUUUCUUUUGCUGUAAAAAAGCUUGAGGAAGGUGGCUUGAGAUUCGUCUUAAGUGUUUAUAGCCUCUUGCCUAUGCAGUCGGAGAGAUUGAGGUCUGCAGCGUAGAUCCUUCGGGGCUAAAUGCAUUUGUGCUAAGUUAUAGCAUUUUAUAGACAACUUGUUGACUAUGAUUUGUCUUGUAGCUUACUCGCUUAUGUUAUUUUACCUACGCUUAGGAUGUUGACAGCAGUAUAGACUGU
rnacentral:rRNA from 1 species